rnacentral:lncRNA from 1 species
AGGGAUUGUGAGAGGAAGUAAAAACAUAAGGAAGCAGGGCUUAUGGGAGGAAGUGAGGUCACAGAGGGGCUGGGGACCGUUGGACCUGGCACCUCCUCCUCCCUCUUGCUGUCUAGCUCAGGACUUCAGUGGUUCUGCUCUGCCAGCCUUCUGCACCAUGGUGUGCUGCUCCUCACAGGUCCUCAUGCAGUUGGACCAACCAACCAAGGACGGAAUCUUCCAAACUAUGUCAGGAUAAACCUUUCUCUUACAAACGGACCAUCUUCGGGGUUUGGCUAAGGUGAUGGGAAGUCACGCAGUUCUCUUGUCCUUUAAACAGGCGCCUGUUUACCUGGUCUGCCAAAGAGACCAAAGGAGAGUCAGGACGCUGCCACCACAUGUGGUCGGCAUAGUUGCUUUGUGUGAACCGGAAGUGCUCAAACUUAGCCAAAGAAAGUUUUCUCCUGUGGGAGAGAGGAGAGGAGAGGACGUGACUGAGUGUAAAGGGCUGCAUUUGAUGUCCAUGCUGUCUGUCCCCACUGUCUGCCACAUCUUCUGCUCCCACCAUACACUGGUUCUGGUGUGGUCCCUCUAGCCACAUGGAAGUCCUUUCCAAGAGGUGUGUGAUUUUCUUUGUGAAUCUAGGAAAUAAAACAGCUUUUUGACAACUUAAAGUUUUUUUUUGAAGCCCAUUAUCUCUUAUAAAACAUUGAGCUUAAGAGUAUCACUUCAGUGGGCAUCCAUUUAGCUAUAAAUGUCUCAUUUCUUACUUUUUAUGGCUGAGUCGUACUCCAUUUUAUAAAAAACCCACAUUUUCUUUAUCCAGUCUUUAGUUGAUGGGCAAUUGGGCUGCUUCCAAGUUUUAGGUAUUAUAAAUUGUGCUGCUGUUGGAUGCACAUUGAGGUGAUACUCUUAAGUGAAAUAAAUAAAACACAGAUGUGCAAAUACUGAAUAGUUUCUCUAGUGUGAGAAACUGAAAGUGUACAUAAGGACUAAAAUGUUUAAUAGGUAAUGUGAAAUAGGAAGAAAAGGGGCAGAGGGGAAGGAAGUGGGAGGGGUAGGGGAAAGGAAAGAAGGGAAAGGAAUUAAUAUGAGAAAAUGGAAAAA